AUACAUAUGGUUUAAUUUAUAUAAGUUUUAUUUAACAUUGAUCAUUAAUUCACAAUUAUCAAUAUGAAGUAAAAUAUAAUAAUGAGCUAGCAAAAGAUGUCAUCAUACCUAUCAUGUAGCGCAUUGAACUUCAUCAAUCACGCGUAGGAUGGCAAGAGGAAACUGAAUUUUCCAUUGAAGAAUAUAAAUAGAAAGAGCAACAACUUAGUGUAAGGAGCCUGAUGGUCAUGAGCAGAAGUGACUCAAAUUGCAAAUGAAGGCAGGAAUUGAUGAAAGAACGGAAACGAGCAGGAACGGCUAUGAUCUUACUGAUGGGGAUAUAGAUACAGCGGACAAUUCAAAAUGUGCACUUCAAAGAUAUUCAAAACGUUUUUCAUACAUUAAUUAUAGACUUAAUACGUUUCACAACUGGACACCAACUGUUAAUAUGUGGCCAAAGCAUCUCGCAGAAGCUGGGUAUAUACUUGUUAAUGGAAAUAUAAUUCAGUGUUAUGAGUGCGCUUCAAUAUUAGAAGUGGGUAGCAUUCACGGAAUUAUAAAUCCUUUAGAAAUACAUCACCGAACUUCUCCAUUCUGCAAAUUCAUACGCAUUCAAAAGUUAAAGAAAGAGAAUAAGGAUCUCAGGGAUGCAUUUAUAUGUUUUCAAUGCAGAAAACGUCAUUUAUCAUACGUCUUGAUACCAUGUAGCCAUGUUGCUUGUGACAAAUGUUAUGUCACUAACGUCUGCUUAUGUAAAAUCCUGGUGGAAGAUAGACAUGCUGUAGUAUUACCACUAGCAUUUAGAAAUCAACAAUUGUAUGAUACAUAAUUUCUGGGUGUAGUUAUUUGACGUCAUUUAUUCGUUGGUUGAGCAUAAAAUCAACGUCAGUUAAUUGUGUUUGUCUCGCUCAGGGAUGCACUGUAUACCACCCUUGCCGUGUCAUAUAAAAAUAUCUUAAACUAUAUAUCUGUUUGGAAUAAAAAAAAUCACAGGUCUUCGAAAUAUGUUUUAAAACAUAUAAAAGCAUAGAUUUGGACAAUAUGUUUUUAUAUAGUUAAAAGAUAAAUACCAACUUAAUCAAUGUUUAUUACCUACAAAUACACUUCUGUUAAGUGUCCAGUACACAACAAACACAACUGAAUUAAUCGCAAU